GAGGAUACAAGGAGACGGAGGCUGGCGUCACCUUCUGUUGCUAAGGCAAACAAGUGACUAUUGUGUCUUAAAACUCUGUUUUUGAAACAUCAAGGAUGGAUUAUCCCAAAAUGGAUUAUUUUCUGGAUGUCGACUCUGCUCACAGAUUCUUGGAUGUUGAGUCGGCUCACAGACUCUUGGAUGUCGAGUCGGCUCAAAGAUUCUUCUACAGUCAAGGAGCUCAAGCUCGCCGGGCGACCCUGCUCCUGCCUCCCACCUUAAUGGCGGCAUCUUCGGAGGAUGAUAUAGACCGGCGGCCCAUCAGGAGAGUCCGCUCCAAGAGUGACACGCCGUACCUCGCGGAGGCCAGGAUUUCCUUUAACCUGGGGGCAGCUGAGGAAGUGGAGAGGCUGGCGGCGAUGCGUUCUGACUCCCUCGUCCCAGGUACCCAUACCCCACCCAUCCGGAGGAGAAGUAAGUUUGCCAACCUGGGAAGGAUUUUCAAGCCUUGGAAAUGGAGGAAGAAGAAAAGCGAAAAGUUCAAGCACACAUCUGCAGCGCUGGAAAGGAAAAUAUCCAUGAGGCAAAGCAGAGAGGAGCUGAUAAAACGAGGAGUCUUGAAGGAAAUUUAUGACAAAGAUGGGGAGCUCUCCAUAUCCAAUGAGGAGGACUCCCUGGAAAACGGACAGUCCCUGAGCGCCAGCCAGCUGUCUCUGCCCGCCCUGUCCGAAAUGGAGCCGGUCCCGAUGCCCAGAGAUCCCUGCUCAUACGAGGUGCUCCAACCUUCAGACAUCAUGGAUGGGACAGUGUCUGAAGAGAGUCCCUCUGCCAGUGAGUCUGGAGUCCUCCUGUCCCAAGAUCCUUCAGCCAAACCAGUCCUGCUACUGCCCCCCAAAAAACCUGCUGCUUUCUCUGGAGACCAUGAAGAGACCCCAGUGAAGCAGCUGUCCCUCCUCAAGCAGCCCCCUGCCCUGCCUCCCAAACCCACAGCCAGGAUUGCCAACCACUUGACAGAUCCUGGAGCCCCUGUGAAAUUGCCUUGUCUGCCAGUGAAACUGUCACCUCCGCUACCUCCAAAGAAAGUCAUGAUCUGUAUGCCUGUAGGAGGGCCAGACCUCUCGCUGGCAUCCUACGCAGCCCAGAAGAGCGGCCAGCAGGGUGGGGCCCAGCACCACCACACGGUCCUGCCGUCCCAGAUCCAGCACCAGCUGCAGUAUGGCAGCCUUGGCCAGCACCACCCCUCCGCCAGCGGCUCCCUCCCCAUGCACCCCUCCAGCUGCAGGAUGAUAGACGAGCUGAAUAAGACGCUGGCUAUGACCAUGCAGAGGCUGGAAAGCUCUGAGCAGCGGGUCCCCUGCCCCACUUCUUACCACAGCUCCAGUUUGCACUCGGGUGACGGUAUCACAAAAGCAGGACCUCUGGGCCUUCCAGAAAUAAGACAAGUGCCAACUGUUGUGAUUGAAUGUGAUGACAAUAAAGAAAAUGUGCCUCAUGAAUCAGACUACGAAGACUCUUCCUGUCUCUACACAAGGGAAGAGGAGGAGGAGGAGGAAGACGAGGAUGACGACAGCUCAUUGUACACCAGCUCCCUGGCCAUGAAGGUGUGCCGGAAGGACUCCUUAGCCAUCAAACUCAGCAACAGGCCCUCCAAGCGAGAGCUAGAAGAAAAGAACAUCCUUCCCAGGCAGACGGAUGAAGAGAGGCUGGAGCUGAGGCAGCAGAUCGGCACCAAGCUCACCAGGCGGCUGAGCCAGAGGCCCACUGCAGAGGAGUUGGAGCAGAGGAACAUUUUGAAACCUCGGAACGAACAAGAGGAACAAGAGGAGAAAAGAGAGAUCAAGAGGAGGCUAACUCGAAAGCUUAGCCAGAGGCCCACCGUGGAAGAACUUCGGGAAAGGAAGAUCCUCAUCCGCUUCAGCGACUACGUGGAGGUGGCUGACGCCCAGGACUAUGACCGCAGGGCGGACAAGCCGUGGACCCGCCUCACCGCUGCCGACAAAGCUGCCAUUCGGAAGGAGCUGAAUGAAUUUAAAAGCACUGAGAUGGAAGUUCACGAGCUGAGUAGACAUCUAACAAGGUUUCACCGACCUUAACAGUCAAAUUCCUCUUGAGUGCUAUGCUGUCUUCAAAACAUAAAUUUAUAAGAACCAUAAGUGCUGGUAUUUAUUCACGUCCCAUCACGAUGUAAAUCUUCUGAACUGCCUUUUUUAAAAGAAGGAGAAGGAGAAGGAAAGGAAACACAAUCAGGAUUCUGUUUGAGAAACACGAUGGUCACCGCUCCGUGGUCAGAGCUGCUGGCACCGCCACGGAUCCUGAACCGUGCCCGUCCCCGGCAGGCCGAGAGCACCUGCGGCCUCGCGGAAGACUUUCAGCCCCGGUCCUCACUUAGGCUCCAGCGACCUUUCCUCAAAAGUACCUGUCACCUAAGUCCAAAGAAAGCUGAGGCAUUGGGCGUGGCCUGGGAAUGACUUUGAGAAGCAAAUCAUCUGGUUGGCCGAUUAGGCUUGGCUUCUGGUUUGGGGUCCCCUCAGGAGGAGGGUGCUGAGAGGGAGCACUGUCUCAGCUGCCCUGUCCACUCCCUCCAGCCACCCUCCUUCCAGUGAACAAAAGGGAAGAGCCCUUGUCUGGGUGACUGUCACACCCAUCCUGUCCCUCAGGCGGCGGAGCUGCCCUCGGGCAGCUCUGGGUUAGAAGGGGAGAGUUGUCACCUGCUCAUUUAACAGCCCAAUGUCACAGGUGAUCUGCACACAAACAGCCACUGCUAAGGUGUACCUAUGGCCUCGUGUAGGAGCGUAAGGACCACGUGGAGGGCAUAAAGGCUGGGGUGGGAACUCCGCUUGGCUGGUGGGCUUCAACUUCUCUGCCUGCCCCAGGGCUGGUGACCCUUUGACUCGGAAGUUAAUGGCUCCCGAGUACAGGCCCCCACACAUGUAGGCCAGAAACCAUUCCUGAAGGACCAGCCUUCCGGCCACUGACGGACUGGUACUCUAGAACGACGUGAUGGCCUUCCAGUCUCCUUUCUUUGCACUAAGGGGUUUCUGUGGGUUUGGCAGAGGCCAGAAUUGGGCAGCCAGCAGCCAUGUCCGCCUUGUGCUGUACUUCCCUGUUCAUGUUUCUCCAGGGGGAACCCUUCCUCCCUCGUGAUACUGGCAAGGGUGAUUGGAGAUGCAUCUCUAACUGCCCCCCUCACCUGGGACCACAGGAAGCAGUGCUCUGUUGACCGAGGGACCCCGAGGGUAGCACGUGCAGUGGGAGGAAGGAUGAGCCCCAAACCCUGAGAGUUUGACUUCUCUUUUGUGAGGCCCCGUGCAGCCCCUUUUUUCCUCCUGACAGAGCUCGUAAGGCCCCCAUCUCGAAGCUCUGCCUGGCCUCCCACAGUCAUUGUGGUCUCAGUUACCACAGUCUUUCCAGGUGAUGGUCCCCUCUCCACCACACGUGCCCACGAGUUAGAAGGAUGCCCGCUUGGCCUUCACAGCAAAGAGUUAACCAGUCCCCACCCCGACCUGCAACCUGCGUGGGAAGGGAGUUACUGCUGGGAUGCGCGCCCACCAGGGAGGCCGUUUACCUUCUGCCGGCAUCCACAGCGCCUGCGGCCAGCACCACCCAGGGCUGUGCGUGUGCGGGGGGCGCGGCAGUGCUUCAGGCAGUGCCCACCAGCCGCUGCACAGCUGUCCUGUGCUUUCCUCACAGCACCUGGAACAUGCCGCUGCCCAUCACUAGAUCCUUUUUUCUUUGCUGAAUCUUAAUAGUUCUUGACGCGGGUAGAAGUAUUGUUCAAGGGAAAUGUGUGGCUGUCAGCACUAUCUUCCCAAAAGGCUUCCUGACAUCUGAAUGUGCAGAUGGUGUGACGAAAGAUGUAGGGCUCUUUCGUUUGACUUCUCUGCAGCGGGCACAUGUUCUGGGCGGAGCUGCCUGCCUUGCCCAGAGCUGAGUCUGAGCUUCCUCUAAUGGGCUGCUGUGCUUCAGGCAACUGGCAGUGCCCGGCAGGAUGGGCAGGCCUUCCCCUGGCCCAGGAGCGAGUCCUAGGGGAACUCAUUCCAUGACCUGGACUCCUCCCACCAAGGCCAGUGGCUUCUCUGCUGGCCUUGCUUCUUGGGUCUUUCUGAUUCCCUGGGGACAUGAGGCCCAAAUCAAUUUCCCUGCAGCCCACCUGCCAGCCAGUAGUCCAGGUUUCUCCCCAAGUGCUCUACUGGGCAGUCCACUGUGCACGGAAGGAGUCGAACACGUCCCCCUUCUCCUCCUGCAGAGCACCGUCUUCCACUUGCAGGACUUAGGGUUGCACCUUCCAUGCCAGUGACAGCACCCACCCCAGAUGUGGGUGGUUUCAAACCCACUGUGUGUGGCUCAGCAACUUCUGUGGACCACAGCAUGGCCUCUCUGCUGUCCCUUUCCCUUCCUGAAAUCUUGAGGAAAUCUGUAGAAAUCCGUCCAAAUUUCUUUUUUGCCACAUUGUUCUGACAGUUGGAAAAUGUGUGUUAAUUCCCAAGAUGACAAAUCGACAUUAAUUAGAAGUGGGGGGUCAGAGAGAUGGCCUAGCUGGUUUACAAUGCUUUCUUUGUCUGAAAACGCUGCUGUUUUCAAGUAAAGGUUUAGUUUGUGUGUAUAAAUUUC